rnacentral:rRNA from 1 species
UACGGAGGGUGCAAACGUUGCUCGGAAUCAUUGGGCGUAAAGCGCAGCGUAGGCGGCCUGUUAAGUCGGGUGUGAAAGCCCUGGGCUCAACCCAGGAAGUGCAUUCGAAACUGGCAGGGCUUGAAUAUGGAAGAGGGUCGCGGAAUUCCCGGUGUAGAGGUGAAAUUCGUAGAUAUUCGGAAGAACACAGUGGCGAAGGCGGCUCACUGGUCCGGUACUGACGCUGAGGUGCGAAAGCGUGGGGAGCAAACAGG